AGAGUUUGAUCCUGGCUCAGGAUGAACGCUAGCGGCAGGCUUAACACAUGCAAGUCGAGGGGCAGCAUAAUGGAUAGCAGUAUCUAUGGUGGCGACCGGCGCACGGGUGCGUAACGCGUAUGCAACCUACCUUUAACAGGGGGAUAACACUGAGAAAUUGGUACUAAUACCCCAUAAUAUCAUAGAAGGCAUCUUUUAUGGUUGAAAAUUCCGAUGGUUAGAGAUGGGCAUGCGUUGUAUUAGCUAGUUGGUGGGGUAACGGCUCACCAAGGCGACGAUACGAUAGGGGGACUGAGGGGUUAACCCCCCANACUGGUACUGAGACACGGACCAGACUCCGUACGGGAGGCA
rnacentral:rRNA from 1 species